UACAGAGGGGGCGAGCGUUGUUCGGAAUUACUGGGCGUAAAGGGCGCGUAGGCGGCCCGCUAAGUCGAACGUGAAAUCCCCAGGCUCAACCUGGGAACUGCGUCCGAUACUGGCAGGCUUGAAUCCGGGAGAGGGAUGUGGAAUUCCAGGUGUAGCGGUGAAAUGCGUAGAUAUCUGGAGGAACACCGGUGGCGAAGGCGGCAUCCUGGACCGGUAUUGACGCUGAGGCGCGAAAGCUAGGGGGGCAAACGGG
rnacentral:rRNA from 1 species